rnacentral:rRNA from 1 species
UACGUAGGGUCCGAGCGUUGUCCGGAGUUACUGGGCGUAAAGCGCGCGCAGGCGGCUGAUCAAGUCUGGCGUGAAAGCCCCCGGCUCAACCGGGGAGGGUCGUCGGAGACUGGUUGGCUUGAGGGCGGUAGGGGCUGGUGGAAUUCCCGGUGUAGUGGUGAAAUGCGUAGAGAUCGGGAGGAACACCUGUGGCGAAGGCGGCCAGCUGGGCCGUCCCUGACGCUGAGGCGCGAAGGCGUGGGGAGCGAACGGG